rnacentral:rRNA from 1 species
UUGAAAGGGAAACGAUUGAAGUCAGUCAUGCUGGUGGGAAUCAACUUAGGGGAAACUCUAGGUGCACUUCUUCGCUUGGCAGGUUAACGUNGAUCUUGAAUGCCAUAAAAUAAUUGGGGGAAGGUAGCUCCUUCGGGAGUGUUAUAGCCCCUGAUAGAUGUGAUGUUUGGGGUCGAGGAUUGCAACGGAUACCUUUGGGGCUAGCCGCCUGAUCUCUAAUCGGUGUUGGGUUACGGAUAGCAUGCUGACCGUGAUCUAAUUACUGGUAAAAGGUUAGAGUGUGCAUAAAUCGUUAAGGAUGUUGACGUA